AGAACUUGGAUUCAUGGGUCCUGAGACUUUUCUUCUACAAAUGUGGGUACCUGGUGUUAUCAGAGCUGUCUGGUGUAAUGUCACUAACCUCUCCUUUUGUUAGAACAACUUAAGCUUUUGAACUAGCUAUAGGGAAAUAGUGACUCUUCCCUUUCUAAGUACUACCAUAGUCCCCUUUCUUUUAAAUAUCUUCCCACUCAAACUCCCCACAACGCAGCUUUUCCAUUUAGAUGCUUUUGUUUCUCCUCUUUUCUUUAAACAUUCAGUCCUCUCCCCAAUUUUAAAUAAAUCUUUCCCUCCACAUUGUUUUAUUUAGAAUUUCUGAUAUUUCCUCCGUCAAACACAUUCAGACACACUUUUUCCUCUACUGCUGGAAAACUCUUGAUGUUCACCCUUGGCUUUCACUUAACUGGUUGCAAGUCAGCCUCUUAAUUUCAUCCCUCUAUCAAUUUCUUU